rnacentral:rRNA from 1 species
GUAACAGGAAUUAGCUUGCUAAUUUGCUGACGAGCGGCGGACGGGUGAGUAACGCGUAGGAAUCUGCCUGGUAGUGGGGGACAACAUGUGGAAACGCAUGCUAAUACCGCAUACGCCCUACGGGGGAAAGGAGGGGAUCUUCGGACCUUUCGCUAUCAGAUGAGCCUGCGUGAGAUUAGCUAGUUGGUGGGGUAAAGGCUCACCAAGGCGACGAUCUCUAGCUGGUCUGAGAGGAUGAUCAGCCACACUGGGACUGAGACACGGCCCAGACUCCUACGGGAGGCAGCAGUGGGGAAUAUUGGACAAUGGGCGCAAGCCUGAUCCAGCCAUGCCGCGUGUGUGAAGAAGGCCUUCGGGUUGUAAAGCACUUUCAGAGGUGAGGAAGGGUGUGCCGUUAAUACCGGUAUGCUUUGACGUUAGCCUCAGAAGAAGCACCGGCUAACUCUGUGCCAGCAGCCGCGGUAAUACAGAGGGUGCGAGCGUUAAUCGGAAUUACUGGGCGUAAAGCGCGCGUAGGUGGUUUGUUAAGUCGGAUGUGAAAGCCCAGGGCUCAACCUUGGAAUUGCACCCGAUACUGGCAGGCUAGAGUACGGUAGAGGGGUGUGGAAUUUCCUGUGUAGCGGUGAAAUGCGUAGAUA